CUCUGAGCUAUAGAUGCCACAGACGUAUCCCACUCCCUGUCUCCAUCAUCUGACAACAGAGAGGCUCAUCUGAGAAAUGUUUUGGAAGCAGCACCUGACCCAUCUGUCUGUCCUGGCUCCACUACACUACCUGCCUUGACCAGACUGUGUCCACCAGCAGGAGAUCAUAUUAUUACAUCGAACAGAUACAACUCUAGUGUCUGCUUAUAAUAGCAGCCAUGAAGUGAGACACCUACAUGGCCAGUAUGUGGGCCAGGAGGAGCCAUCAUUACUACAUCUGCCACUAUCCACAUCUGUCACCUUGAAGGAUGCUUCACCUUGAAGGAUUCCCCUUAGCUUCUUUGGAUCCAGGGGCAGAAUCUGUGUCCUUCUUCAUCCCAAGUGUCUCAAAUAA